CUACAAUGCUCCAAAUCUCAGCCGCUUCCAUUCCAUCCACACCGCAGCUUACUGAUUUUUCCUCGAAUCAGUAAGUUUCUCAAUCCAUCUCGAUUUCCACAUGAAAUUAGUUACUGAAACUCGUCAUUUUUCUCUAAUUAGGUUUUUUCGUUCCUUUUUUCUUAUUUCUUAUACUUUUAUCCUCAUUUGGGAAUCAAUAAUUAUAUGAUUAUGAUCAAGUUUCUCUUUCUUGUUACUAGCUAUGUAGCACCGACACCUCUGAAAAACGAUUCAGACACUUACACCGAUACUUGUGAUUAUGUAUAAUUUAUUCAUUUUUUUCAAAUUAUUACUAGUGUCGGCGUUUCACUGUUUUUGAUGUCAUAUUGAGUGUCUGUGAUACAUAGGUUGCUAGCUAUUAGUCACGUUUUCAGCAUUGUUAAAUUGGAAGCAAAUUAUUUACUUGACAACAUUUACAUAAAUAUUCAAGUUUUUUUCAGUUUUACAAUGAUUAUCUAAUUUGUGAUUUUGAGUGUUAAUGCUUGUGUCAAAUUUCAAUUUAACUCUAUUUACUUCAGUUUUAGGAUCAUAUAAUGCGGUAUCGGAGCAAUGGGAAAGAUGCCACUAGACAAAAGGUUCUUCGUCGCCUCGAUCAGGUUAUUUACUUCUUCAAUCUUGCUUUUCUAGAUUAGCUUAUGCUGGUUUUCAAUAAUUAGUCUUGCUUCUCGUUUAGGGUUUAUUUUUUUAUAUCAUAGUAUUCACUUGUAUUUUUGUAAAGGGUUUCUAUCAAGUAUGAGAAUAUUGGAUGCAAGUCAUUGUGCUUCAUUGGAAACUUGCAAUAUCAAUCUACCU
rnacentral:lncRNA from 1 species